GCGGAUGUGAUGGAAUUGGUAGACAUGCAAGAUUUAGGUUCUUGUGCUUCGGCGUGCAGGUUCGAGUCCUGUUAUCCGCA
rnacentral:tRNA from 1 species